CCCUUAGAUGUUCUGGGCGGCCCGCGCACUACAAUGGCGCUUUCAGCGAGUUCCUAUGUUGAAUUUUCCCGGGUAUUCUUGGAAGCGGCGUCUUGACUUGGGAUAGAUCCUUGUAAUUGUUGGUUUUGAACGAGGAAUUCCUUGUAAUCGCGGUUGAUCAGCUCGCGUUGAAUACGUCCCUGCCCUUUGUACACACCGCCCGUCGCUCCUACCGAUGAAUCGUCCGGUGAAGUUCACAGAGUGGCGGUUCGUGGAGUUGCUCGCGAAGUGAAAUGGACCUCACGAUUUAGAGGAAGGAGAAGUCGUAACA
rnacentral:rRNA from 1 species